rnacentral:rRNA from 1 species
UACAGAGGGUGCGAGCGUUAAUCGGAAUUACUGGGCGUAAAGCACGCGUAGGCGGCUUUGCAAGUCGGGUGUGAAAUCCCCAGGCUUAACCUGGGAACUGCAUUCGAGACUGCAUUGCUAGAGUAUGGGAGAGGGAAGUGGAAUUUCCGGUGUAGCGGUGAAAUGCGCAGAUAUCAGGAGGAACACCGAUGGCGAAGGCAGCUCGCUGGGACGGUACUGACGCUGAGACGCGAAAGCGUGGGGAGCAAACAGG